UUUACUGCCCACGCUCACUUGCCCCCGUUACUCUCUCUUACCUGCUUUUGCUUCUCCUCAGUCCUCAUCCUCACAUCUCCUGUUUUGAUUUUGCUUUAUUUCAUUUUUUAUCUUCAACCAAUCCAACUGAUCAGUUUUGUUUGCUCACAGCCUUCUCGAUACUUCUCUUAUGGGUUUGGGUCCAACAAUGGUUGGGAUGCUGAGUUUUGUAAAUUUUUGUUGUUCUGAUUUUUCUGGUCAAUGGAUGCCCUAGUUGUUACACCUCGCAUUCCUCUCUCUCCUCAUCACCACCGUCGGAUUUCCUCCCGCUCAUUUCCAGCGUUCAUCUCCGACGCUCCAAUCAACCUCUUCGUCUUCGCCGCUCUCUCACCUGCUCCGCUAUUUCUUCUCCUUCGCUUGAAGUGAUGAUGGGAAAAUGGCACUUGGAAGACUAUGUGCACUUUGUGAGCAGGUGAAGGAACUGCUAUCUUUUUUCAAAUUUUACCCUGGUUGAGUAUCCAUAAGUUCUUUCACCUUUCUUGUAUCUGGUGGAGCUUACUCAAUCUUAAUCAUUUGUUAUUGCGUAGAAAGGGGGAUAUCUCAAGAUAUUUAGUGAAUCAGAAAUCACUUGAUCAUUCUCAACCAUUUAGUGGAUUGAAUUUUUUAACUAAUGAAGUGGGUGCUUAUUUUGCUGUAAGGGGACCAUUUGUCUUCAAUGGAGAUGUUUAAAUUGGGUUUCGAAGGAAGUCCGUCAAUGGUGAUUGUAAAUUUUACUAUGCUUCUAGGCAAUUCCCCUUAUUUCUCCUCCUCCGAUCGUGCUGAUUGCAACUCUCGGGUAAUUUCUUUCUCUCUAUUUUUCUAAAUUUCAAGUUUUCUAAGCGGUUGCUAUUUUUUCCCCUAAAUUUUAACCAUGGAGCAUGUUUGAGUGAGCUUGGUAAUUGAUUUCACAAGCGUGAUUAUGUUAGAAUCUAUCACAUAAGGGUAAUUGAUUUCCCCCAAAUGUUAAGGGGAAUGACUCAAUUACUAUCAUGGGUGUAUUUUGCAUGAGAUUUGCAGUUUUUAAUUUAAUUUUUGCAAAGAAAUGUUUUUUAAUAUUAAAGUGGGGUUUUCUGCAAAAUUGUAUGGAUUGGUUUUGCUAAUUUAGUUUUCGAAGAAAAUUGUUGGUUUGAUUGUUAUUUGGUAGCUGUUAAUCCGGUUUUGCGCUAUUUGGGUGAUUUUUGAAAUGGAGCAUUAUGAAGGUUAAAAUGAAAGGGUAAAUU